CCUACGGGUGGCAGCAGUAGGGAAUAUUGCUCAAUGGGGGAAACCCUGAAGCAGCAACGCCGCGUGGAGGAUGAAGGUUUUCGGAUUGUAAACUCCUUUUGUUAGAGAAGAUAAUGACGGUAUCUAACGAAUAAGCACCGGCUAACUCCGUGCCAGCAGCCGCGGUAAUACGGAGGGUGCAAGCGUUACUCGGAAUCACUGGGCGUAAAGAGCGCGUAGGCGGGAUAGCAAGUCAGAUGUGAAAUCCUAUGGCUUAACCAUAGAACUGCAUUUGAAACUGUUAUUCUAGAGUAUGGGAGAGGUAGGUGGAAUGCUUGGUGGAGGGGUAAAAUGCGUAGAGAUCAAGAGGAAUACUCAUUGCGAAGGCGACCUGCUAGAACAUAACUGACGCUGAUGCGCGAAAGCGUGGGGAGCAAACAGGAUUAGAUACCCCGGUAGUC
rnacentral:rRNA from 1 species